GACGAACCGUGCGAACGUUGUUCGGAUUCACUGGGCUUAAAGGGCGCGUAGGCGGGCAUUCAAGUCAGGGGUGAAAGCCCCCGGCCUAACCGGGGAAGUGCCUCUGAGACUGAGUGUCUCGAGGGGGGUAGGGGCAGUUGGAACUCUCGGUGGAGCGGUGAAAUGCGUAGAUAUCGGGAGGAACGCCGGUGGCGAAAGCGGGCUGCUGGACCCCUUCUGACGCUGAGGCGCGAAAGCCAGGGGAGCGAACGGG
rnacentral:rRNA from 1 species